rnacentral:rRNA from 2 species
GACGAACCGUGCGAACGUUAUUCGGAAUCAUUGGGCUUAAAGGGCGCGUAGGCGGCGGCGUAAGUUCGUGGUGAAAUCCCAUCGGCUCAACCGUGGAAUCGCUUCGAAUACUGCGUCGCUCGAGUGGGAUAGGGGACCGCAGAACUGCCGGUGGAGCGGUGAAAUGUGUUGAUAUCGGCGGGAAUGCCAGUGCCGAAAGGGGCGGUCUGGACCCUCACUGACGCUGAGGCGCGAAAGCUAGGGGAGCAAACGGG